CGGUUAAGUUAGAAAGGGCGCACGGUGGAUGCCUUGGCACUAGGAGCCGAUGAAGGACGGGACGAACACCGAUAUGCUUCGGGGAGCUGUAAGCAAGCUUUGAUCCGGAGAUUUCCGAAUGGGGAAACCCACCACUCGUAAUGGAGUGGUAUCCAUAUCUGAAUACAUAGGAUAUGAGAAGGCAGACCCGGGGAACUGAAACAUCUAAGUACCCGGAGGAAGAGAAAGCAAAUGCGAUUCCCUGAGUAGCGGCGAGCGAAACGGGAUCAGCCCAAACCAAGAGGCUUGCCUCUUGGGGUUGUAGGACACUCUAUACGGAGUUACAAAGGAACGAGGUAGAUGAAGAGGUCUGGAAAGGCCCGCCAUAGCAGGUAACAGCCCUGUAGUCAAAACUUCGUUCUCUCCAGAGUGGAUCCUGAGUACGGCGGAACACGUGAAAUUCCGUCGGAAUCCGGGAGGACCAUCUCCCAAGGCUAAAUACUCCCUAGUGACCGAUAGUGAACCAGUACCGUGAGGGAAAGGUGAAAAGCACCCCGGAAGGGGAGUGAAACAGAUCCUGAAACCGUGUGCCUACAAGUAGUCAGAGCCCGUUAACGGGUGAUGGCGUGCCUUUUGUAGAAUGAACCGGCGAGUUACGAUCCCGUGCAAGGUUAAGCAGAAGAUGCGGAGCCGCAGCGAAAGCGAGUCUGAAUAGGGCGCAUGAGUACGUGGUCGUAGACCCGAAACCAGGUGAUCUACCCAUGUCCAGGGUGAAGUUCAGGUAACACUGAAUGGAGGCCCGAACCCACGCACGUUGAAAAGUGCGGGGAUGAGGUGUGGGUAGGGGUGAAAUGCCAAUCGAACCUGGAGAUAGCUGGUUCUCUCCGAAAUAGCUUUAGGGCUAGCCUUAAGGUAAGAGUCUUGGAGGUAGAGCACUGAUUGGACUAGGGGCCCCUACCGGGUUACCGAAUUCAGUCAAACUCCGAAUGCCAAUGACUUAUCCUUAGGAGUCAGACUGCGAGUGAUAAGAUCCGUAGUCGAAAGGGAAACAGCCCAGACCGCCAGCUAAGGUCCCAAAGUAUACGUUAAGUGGAAAAGGAUGUGGAGUUGCUUAGACAACCAGGAUGUUGGCUUAGAAGCAGCCACCAUUUAAAGAGUGCGUAAUAGCUCACUGGUCGAGUGACUCUGCGCCGAAAAUGUACCGGGGCUAAACGUAUCACCGAAGCUGCGGACUGUUCUUCGAACAGUGGUAGGAGAGCGUUCUAAGGGCUGUGAAGCCAGACCGGAAGGACUGGUGGAGCGCUUAGAAGUGAGAAUGCCGGUAUGAGUAGCGAAAGAGGGGUGAGAAUCCCCUCCACCGAAUGCCUAAGGUUUCCUGAGGAAGGCUCGUCCGCUCAGGGUAAGUCGGGACCUAAGCCGAGGCCGAAAGGCGUAGGCGAUGGACAACAGGUUGAUAUUCCUGUACCACCUCCUCACCAUUUGAGCAAUGGGGGGACGCAGGAGGAUAGGGUAAGCGCGGUAUUGGAUAUCCGCGUCCAAGCAGUUAGGCUGGGAAAUAGGCAAAUCCGUUUCCCAUAAGGCUGAGCUGUGAUGGCGAGCGAAUUAUAGUAGCGAAGUUCCUGAUUCCACACUGCCAAGAAAAGCCUCUAGCGAGGUGAGAGGUGCCCGUACCGCAAACCGACACAGGUAGGCGAGGAGAGAAUCCUAAGGUGAUCGAGAGAACUCUCGUUAAGGAACUCGGCAAAAUGACCCCGUAACUUCGGGAGAAGGGGUGCUCUGUUAGGGUGCAAGCCCGAGAGAGCCGCAGUGAAUAGGCCCAGGCGACUGUUUAGCAAAAACACAGGUCUCUGCGAAGCCGUAAGGCGAAGUAUAGGGGCUGACGCCUGCCCGGUGCUGGAAGGUUAAGAGGAGCGCUUAGCGUAAGCGAAGGUGCGAAUUGAAGCCCCAGUAAACGGCGGCCGUAACUAUAACGGUCCUAAGGUAGCGAAAUUCCUUGUCGGGUAAGUUCCGACCCGCACGAAAGGCGCAACGAUCUGGGCACUGUCUCAACGAGAGACUCGGUGAAAUUAUAGUACCUGUGAAGAUGCAGGUUACCCGCGACAGGACGGAAAGACCCCGUGGAGCUUUACUGCAGCCUGAUAUUGAAUGUUGGUACAGCUUGUACAGGAUAG
rnacentral:rRNA from 1 species